rnacentral:rRNA from 1 species
GCCCUUGCCGCUGCAGAGUUUGAUCCUGGCUCAGAAUGAACGUUGGCGGCGUGGAUUAGGCAUGCAAGUCGUGCGGUAGUGUCCCGCAAGGGGCACUACAGCAGCGAAAGGGGGAGUAACGCGUGGGUAACCUGCCCCCAGGGCCGGGAUAACCCUGGGAAACUGGGGCUAAUACCGGAUAAAGUCCUGGGGCGGAAGCCUUCAGGACCAAAGGUGAGAGUUCCGCCUGGGGAGGGGCCCGCGUCCUAUCAGCUAGUUGGUGGGGUAAUGGCCUACCAAGGCUGUGACGGGUACGAGGCGUGAGAGCGUGUCCUCGCCCACUGGGACUGAGACACUGCCCAGACACCUACGGGUGGCUGCAGUCGAGAAUCUUCGGCAAUGGGCGCAAGCCUGACCGAGCGACGCCGCGUGCGGGAUGAAGGCCUUCGGGUUGUAAACCGCUGUCAGGGGGUCGGAAAUGUCGGGGCUCAGCCCCGGCUUGACCUACCCCAGAGGAAGGACGGGCUAAGUCCGUGCCAGCAGCCGCGGUAAGACGGACCGUCCAAACGUUAUUCGGUAUCACUGGGCUUAAAGGGUGCGUAGGCGGUCCCGUAAGUCGGGUGUGAAAUCCCUCGGCUCAACCGAGGAAGUGCGCCCGAAACUGCGGGGCUAGAGGGAGGUAGAGGCGAGUGGAACUUGCGGUGGAGCGGUGAAAUGCGUUGAUAUCGCAAGGAACACCGGUGGCGAAGCGGCUCGCUGGGCCUUCCCUGACGCUGAGGCACGAAAGCUAGGGGAGCGAACGGGAUUAGAUACCCCGGUAGUCCUAGCCCUAAACGCUGAGCACUAGACCGGAGGGUCCCCAUAGCUUU